GCUCAGUCUCUGGUGUCCCCGGCCUGGGGCUGGCAAGCUGGGUUAGGAGCUAUGACCUUGGGGCAAAUAGGGAUACGAUCCUAGAGGCGCAGGGGAGCGCGCAGCAUGAGUGCUGAGAGGCACGCGCCCUCUGCUGCACGGCCGUGGAAUAAAACGAGACAGCGGCGCCACAGUCCCCUGCCCGCAGCCCACGCUCGGGCGAGCCUGGAGGAUUGCAUUUCCUCGUAGGCUGGCAGAGCCUUACAUGAAGCGCUCAUCUUCUCCUACUUUCCUCCUCUUUAAAAAAUUAACGUGGGAAACAUUUUCCUGGGCAUCUAAAAGUAUUGUGGACCUGAGACACUGUGCUUACAGGGCCUACUGGUGUGGAAAAAUGAAAUAGACUCG
rnacentral:lncRNA from 1 species